UACAAAACGCUCACGCUGCAUCUGCUGGAUUUUUUGUCACACAAGACUCGUCUUUUGGUAAUCUCAUACUCCCGGUUCUACCUCGGUUUGAAGCCAAGUGACUGGAAUUCAACGGAAUUGGAAAAUCAACACCUAGGGAUGGCUUGUAUGCGUCUCAGAGAACUGGAAGAGUGCCUUCAGGAGUUGGAUGUUUUUGAAAAUCCCAAAAUACUUCUUGAGCAAUAUGCCACAAGUGCCCACAUAGGGGCUCACAUUUUGCAUACUGCACAGACACACUUUGAUGACAUAGAAGGAAAGGCUGUGGCUGACUUAGGAGCAGGGUGUGGGGUGCUUUCGGUUGGGGCUCGACUACUGGGAGCUGACCAUGUCAUCGGAUUUGAAAUUGACCCUGACGCAUUGUCUAUACUACGCCGAAACUGCCUUGAAUUGGAGUCUGACAUUGAAUCCAUACAAUGCGAUAUACUUACCUACUUGCCUGGUAGAUUUGAGAAAUACUUUGACACAGUUGUUACGAAUCCACCAUUUGGUACAAAACGAAACGCGGGAAUGGAUAUGAAAUUCUUGGAGAUAGCAGUCAAAGUGGCUCGCAAUGCAGUAUACUCUCUCCAUAAGACUAGUACCCGAGAUCACGUUCUCAGGACAGCUAAAAAACUCGGAGCUAAACCUACCGUUGUUGCAGAAUUGAGAUAUGAUCUACCUAGAGCGUACAAAUUUCAUAAAAGUGCUUCUGUGGACGUUCAAGUCGAUCUGGUCAGACUGCAACUUGAGCAGUCGUAGAAUACUGCUUCUCUCAAAUGUGAUGGGAUUCAGGAUCGAUUCAAUUACCAAUCACAGGAUAGUCACCGUCUGUCUUCAACAAGCACGGUCCCAAUAUCUGCAUCGCCAGUUAUGAGUGAAGCCACAGAACCAGGAAUUCCAUUACGUUCUAAUACUCUAGCAACAAUCUUAGUAGUUGCAAUGGAAACUAAUGGUGUUGUAGGAGCCCCCUUCCACACAAUGGUGUUUCCACAUACCAUGGCUAUUGCGCUGUUCCAUCCAUAAACCUUCGAGUCAUUAGGGCAAGAAACUUCCGGGAAGUGUCCUUGACAAGCCGACAGCAUAAUCACAGAUGUCAACGUAUUCCUGAACCUCACCAAUGCCUUCGGCCAAAAUUUUACCUGAUGGAAGAAACGUAAGCUUGUACUAAGUCGUAUACAAUAAUUGAGAUUCAAUGCUA